rnacentral:snRNA from 1 species
ACAUUUUUGCAGUCACUUUGUAAA